GCAGUCGAACGAACUCUGGUAUUGAUUGGUGCUUGCAUCAUGAUUUACAUUUGAGUGAGUGGCGAACUGGUGAGUAACACGUGGGAAACCUGCCCAGAAGCGGGGGAUAACACCUGGAAACAGAUGCUAAUACCGCAUAACAACUUGGACCGCAUGGUCCGAGUUUGAAAGAUGGCUUCGGCUAUCACUUUUGGAUGGUCCCGCGGCGUAUUAGCUAGAUGGUGGGGUAACGGCUCACCAUGGCAAUGAUACGUAGCCGACCUGAGAGGGUAAUCGGCCACAUUGGGACUGAGACACGGCCCAAACUCCUACGGGAGGCAGCAGUAGGGAAUCUUCCACAAUGGACGAAAGUCUGAUGGAGCAACGCCGCGUGAGUGAAGAAGGGUUUCGGCUCGUAAAACUCUGUUGUUAAAGAAGAACAUAUCUGAGAGUAACUGUUCAGGUAUUGACGGUAUUUAACCAGAAAGCCACGGCUAACUACGUGCCAGCAGCCGCGGUAAUACGUAGGUGGCAAGCGUUGUCCGGAUUUAUUGGGCGUAAAGCGAGCGCAGGCGGUUUUUUAAGUCUGAUGUGAAAGCCUUCGGCUCAACCGAAGAAGUGCAUCGGAAACUGGGAAACUUGAGUGCAGAAGAGGACAGUGGAACUCCAUGUGUAGCGGUGAAAUGCGUAGAUAUAUGGAAGAACACCAGUGGCGAAGGCGGCUGUCUGGUCUGUAACUGACGCUGAGGCUCGAAAGUAUGGGUAGCAAACAGGAUUAGAUACCCUGGUAGUCCAUACCGUAAACGAUGAAUGCUAAGUGUUGGAGGGUUUCCGCCCUUCAGUGCUGCAGCUAACGCAUUAAGCAUUCCGCCUGGGGAGUACGGCCGCAAGGCUGAAACUCAAAGGAAUUGACGGGGGCCCGCACAAGCGGUGGAGCAUGUGGUUUAAUUCGAAGCUACGCGAAGAACCUUACCAGGUCUUGACAUACUAUGCAAAUCUAAGAGAUUAGACGUUCCCUUCGGGGACAUGGAUACAGGUGGUGCAUGGUUGUCGUCAGCUCGUGUCGUGAGAUGUUGGGUUAAGUCCCGCAACGAGCGCAACCCUUAUUAUCAGUUGCCAGCAUUAAGUUGGGCACUCUGGUGAGACUGCCGGUGACAAACCGGAGGAAGGUGGGGAUGACGUCAAAUCAUCAUGCCCCUUAUGACCUGGGCUACACACGUGCUACAAUGGAUGGUACAACGAGUUGCGAACUCGCGAGAGUAAGCUAAUCUCUUAAAGCCAUUCUCAGUUCGGAUUGUAGGCUGCAACUCGCCUACAUGAAGUCGGAAUCGCUAGUAAUCGCGGAUCAGCAUGCCGCGGUGAAUACGUUCCCGGGCCUUGUACACACCGCCCGUCACACCAUGAGAGUUUGUAACACCCAAAGUCGGUGGGGUAACCUUUUAG
rnacentral:rRNA from 2 species